rnacentral:lncRNA from 1 species
CCAGGGCCGGGUUUGAGGCCAUCAGGGCGCGCAGCUUGGCAGGGUCGCUGAGCAGAGCCUGCGCGUGUGCGGCGAGGUGAGGCAAGGCGGGGAAGACAUGAGCAAGGGCGGCCGCGGUUUCGCGUGUGUGUGCAGGCCUGGAAUGGCCGUUCCGCAUCAGCCGGCACAGGCAUGACGGCAAGUCAGUUAUUCCUAGUUCAGAGAUGAAGUGCACAUACCGUUUACGGUACGUCGGUUAGAGAUGCGCACACCGUAUGCAGUGCGGAUGGUGGAAUGCCGAUUGCGUCACCGCAGAACUUCGCAUGCGGCUCCCGAUAGACAUUUUCGCACCCGGCCGCGGAUCCCCCCCUUACCUUGAUCAUGUCCGGUGACACGCCGCCGCCACCACCACCCAUAGCCGGCUGCUGCUGUUGCAUCUGUUGCAUGUGCUGCAUCUGCGCCGGUUGUUGUUGCUGCUGCAGCUGCAGCUGCUGCUGUUGCGGCGGCCCAGGGAAGGAGGACUGCUGCUGCAGCGGGUGCUGCUGCUGUGGCGGAGGUGGCUGCAGGUCCGCAUACAACGCAUCGCCAUAGUCACCACUAUGCCGCUGCAGCUGCGGCUGCUGCUGUUGCCGCCAUUGCUGCUGCUGCUGUUGCUGUUGCUGCUGCUGCUGCUGCUGUUGUUGUUGUUGCUGCUGCUGCUGUUGUUGCUGCUGCUGCGAGGCACCGCCGGGCGUCCCAAGACUGCCCGAGGGGCCGGCGCCUCCAAUGCUGCGAGCCGACGGCAGGCCGCCGCCGCCUGCCGACGGCGCCCGGACCAUGCCGCCACCACCGCCGCCACCAGCUGAGCCCGGCGUCGGCGCAAACAAGUCAUCGUACAACGAGUCCGCGUCAGCGCUCGGCAGCUGCUGAAGCGCCGGCGGGCGGUAGCCACCACCACCGCCGCCACUGAAGCCGCGGCCACCGCCGCCGCCAGCGCCGGCACCUGGUGGCGGCGGGAAGCCGCCGCCACCGCCGGCCGCGCCGGGUGGGCGUGGCGGCGGCGGCCCCAUGCCGCCACUGCCAGUGGCAGGCGGCGGUCCUGGCGGCGGCGGCGCCGCCGGCGCCGCUCCGCCGCUGCCUGACAUCCGCUGGUAGUCAUCCACGUGUUUGGAGGGAGCCCGGCUACUGCUGCCCCGUCCGCGCAUGUCGCCGCGGCGGCGCGUGCCCAUCACGAUCGGAAUGUCGUCCAUUACAUCGCCACCACCCACGCCCGUGCCGGCUCCGCCGGCGCCGGCGGCAGCGGCUCCGCCGCCGCUGGCAGCGGCACCGACGCCGUCCUUGCGCGGCGCGGCGGCGGUUGGGCGCGGAACGUCGCGCGGCCGGCGGCGGCGCGAGAGGGGCUCGGCGGGGAGCAGCGAGGCGGCGGACAGCUCGGCGGAGGGCGUGGAGCAGUCCCACCUGCGCACGUAACACGCGUAGCGUCAGUUGGGCUUGGAAACUGGAUCGCGCCGUGUAUCGCUUGAUCAGUGACCACAUCCCAGCCCCACCCCCGGACCCAGCGCCAAACCUAUUCCUGCCACCGACAACUGGGAACAACGCCGUACCCGUUGCACGACACACAGCAACCUGCCGGCUUGCAGGCCAGCAACCCGCCACACAACAUUUGCCACGCCCGCCCCUUCUCGACACACACUGCAUCUGCCAGCGCCGGCUGCCCCCCCUUGUCCCGCCCCAGGCACGCACCUGGUUAGCUUCCUGCUGAGGCUGGCUCGGACCACCUUGGAGCGGCAGUAGCGCCAGAACGACAGCGUGGCGUUGUCGCACACAGACGGCCAAGGCCACGCCGCCGCCGCCGCCUCCUCAGCCUCCGCCGCCUCAUCCGCCGCCGCCGCGGCCGCGGCGGCGAUGCCGCCGCUGCCGCUGUCGCCGCCGCCGCCUCCGGCGGCGGCUGACGCCGCCGCUGCCGCGGCCUCGUUGGCGGCGGCGACGGCGGCGACGUAGCGCUGAAAGGCGGGCGGCGGCGGCUGAAACUCCAUCGCAACGUCGGACUCUUUCGUCUCGCUCGCCACCUCUUCAAGCUUGCGCGCCACCUGCUCACACGCCGCCGCCACGGCCGCACCGUCGGCGGCGCUGCCGCCGCCGCCGGUGCCGCCGGCGGAGGCUCGGGCGCUGGCGGCGCGCUGCUGCAGCUCGGCGGCGCACCAACGGAGGGCCUCCACCUGCCGUGCCAGCUCGCUGCCGCUGAUGGAGCCGCCGCCCUGUGCGCAAGCGCGCAUGUGCACAUGUCGGCAGGAGAAGCGGCGUGAGCCUUGUGUGUGUUUGUGUGCCACGCAAGUGCUCACGCAGCACCACUGCGUGCCGAGCCGAAAGUCCUCAACCGCGACUUCCCACCCUCCGCUACCUCGCCCCAGCCCGCCCUUCGCGUGAUGUUCCGCAAGAUGGUCUACCGUCUACCACUUACUACCCUUAACUAGUCAUGAAUGUAACCCCCCCCCCCGUAACCCGCGACCCCCCCCCCCAUCCUCACCUGCGCCGAGUGCACCUUGGCUGCGCCCUGCCGCAGCGCGGCGCGCCCCAGCGGGUAGCCCGCCAGGCCGAACCGCUCAUUGAGCGCCAGCAGCUGCGCCGCCAGCGCGGCGUUGUGCGGCCCCAGGAAGGGCAGCACCGCCAGCAGCGCCGUCACCAGCGCCGCGGACUCGGUCAGGGGCGGCACGUCCUCCUGCCGGGGGUGGUGGUGGGCAGGGAGAGGGGCGUGGGGUUAGGGGUGGUGUGGAGCGUGUUGGGGUGGGGUCGUUGGCGGCAGUGAACACGGGCGAGAGUGGGCAGGAGGAGGGGCGGGUCAGCGGGGGCGGUGCGGCGGUUGGGGUUCGAGGUACACAGCAGCGCGGCCAUCCGAGGACCCAGCCGCCAAACACACACACACACACACACACACACACACACACACACACACACACACACACACACACACACAUACACACACACACACAACACACACACACACGCGUGUUCUCUAUCUCGUGUUAUUCCUAACACAGAAACACAAGAACGCACAAACACCCCACUCGCACGCGCCCGCCCGCCCGCACGACCGCACCCGCAGGCGCUGCUCCCGCGGCGCGCUGGGCGCCAGGCUAAGGUCGGG